CACGUAGGGCGCAAGCGUUGUCCGGAAUUAUUGGGCGUAAAGAGCUCGUAGGCGGUCCGUCACGUCCGCUGUGAAAACCCAGGGCUCAACCCUGGGCUUGCAGUGGAUACGGGCAGACUAGAGGUAGGUAGGGGAGAAUGGAAUUCCCGGUGUAGCGGUGAAAUGCGCAGAUAUCGGGAGGAACACCGGUGGCGAAGGCGGUUCUCUGGGCCGAAAUUGACGCUGAGGAGCGAAAGCGUGGGGAGCAAACAGG
rnacentral:rRNA from 1 species